AUUGAACGCUGGCGGCAGGCUUUACACAUGCAAGUCGGACGAGCGGCGAACGGGUGAGUAACGCAUCGGAAACUGCCUAGUAGUGGGGGAUAACUAUCCGAAAGGGUAGCUAAUACCGCAUACCAUCCGAUCUGCCGAUUUGGGAUUAGCUGGUUGGCGGGGUAAAGGCCCACCCAGGCGACGAUCCGUAGCUGGUCUGAGAGGAUGAUCCGCCACACUGGGACUGAGACACGGCCCAGACUCCUACGGGAGGCAGCAGUGGGGAAUUUUGGACAAUGGGCGCAAGCCUGAUGCAGCCAUGCCGCGUGUCUGAAGAAGGCCUUCGGGUUGUAAAGGACUUUUGUCAGGGAAGCGGUACCCGAAGAAUAAGCACCGGCUAACUACGUGCCAGCCGCCGCGGUAAUUC
rnacentral:rRNA from 1 species